CUAGUAAUCGCGAAUCAGAAUGUCGCGGUGAAUACGUUCCCGGGUCUUGUACACACCGCCCGUCACACCAUGGGAGUCGGGAAUGCCCGAAGCCGGUGACCCAACCUUAAGGAGGGAGCCGUCGAAGGCAGGCCUGGUAACUGGGGUGAAGUCGUAACAAGGUAAC
rnacentral:rRNA from 1 species